UGGCCGAGAGGUUAAGGCGUUGGACUCCAAAUCCAAUUUUGGACCUGUGCGGUUUCCCCGCACAGGUUCGAAUCCUGU
rnacentral:tRNA from 1 species